rnacentral:tRNA from 2 species
CGGAGCGUAGCGCAGUUGGCUAGCGCACUUGAAUGGGGUUCAAGAGGUCGUGCGUUCAAAUCGCACCGCUCCGA